AUGGCCGAGCAGGCACGGUUCUUCAACAUGGACCCAGCGACGGCGGCCGACGCACGGCGCAAGGGCUGCGACCCGCACACGCUGGACCAAGCCGCGGAGAGCAUGCUGUGCUACAUCUACGCCAACCUCCCCAGCCUCCCCGUCUACGAGGGCACGCGGCUCGCCGCUCUCGCCUCCUCCGCCUCCCCCGAUGGCGUCGACCGCAUCAGCCGCCUCCCGCCCGAGCUCCUCAGCAACAUCGUCUCCCGCCUCCCGUCCGUCAAGGACGCCGCGCGCACCGCCGUCCUCUCCUCCCACUGGCGCCGGGUCUGGCUCUCCACGCCCCUCGUGCUGGCCGACGCCCACCUCCACCCCGAAGCCUGCGGCUGGCCGCCCACGCCCGCCACCUCGCCGGCCGUCACCGCCGCCGUCUCCCGCAUCCUCGACGCGCACCCGGGGCCCUUCCGCUGCGUCCACCUCGUCUGCAGCCACAUGAGCGCGCACCGUGCCCGGCUCGCGCGCUGGCUCCAGCUCCUCGCCGCCAAGGGCGUCCAGGACCUCGCCCUCGUCAACCGCCCCUGGCCGCGCGACGUGCCCCUCCCGGCCACGCUCUUCGCCGUCACCACCCUCACCCGCCUCUACGUCGGCAUGUGGACGUUGCCCGGCACGGCCGCCCUGCGUGGCGCCUCCUUUCCCCACCUCCGCGAGCUCGGCCUGGGCUGCGUCGAAAUGGAGCAGGGCGUGGUCGACUCCCUCGUCGCCAGGAGCCCCGUCCUCGAGGUCCUCAACAUCCUGGGAUGCAAGGCGGUGCGUCUCCGCCUCGUCAGCCAGAGCCUGCGGUGCGUGCAGAUCAGCUGGUCGAGAAUGGAGGACGUCGCCGUGGUAAAGGCUCCCCUCCUCGAGCGGCUCGUCCUGUUUAGACCUUGCAAAAUCGCUGGUGGCAUGUCCACGAGACUCAGGAUUGGCGAUGCCCCCAAGCUGCACGCAUUUGGGUACUUGGAGCCAGGCCCAGGACAGGUCCUCAAGGUCCGAGACACCAUCAUCAUGCCAGGAAUAGCAAGCGCAAGUACCGUCGUGACAAGCGUGAAGAUUCUGAGCUUGAAUGUGUGUUUCGGAGUUCGCAGUGAUGUCCAGAUGGUGCCCACCUUCCUCAGAUGCUUUCCCAACGCCAAGAGACUGCAUAUCAUGAGUAAAAGAUGCACUGAACCCACUGGCAACUACCUCACACUCCAGUUCUAG
rnacentral:rRNA from 1 species